GCCAGACUCCUACGGGAGGCAGCAGUGGGGAAUAUUGGACAAUGGGGGGAACCCUGAUCCAGCGACGCCGCGUGAGUGAAGAAGUAUUUCGGUAUGUAAAGCUCUCUCAGCAGGGAAGAAAGAAAUGACGGUACCUGACUAAGAAGCCCCGGCUAACUACGUGCCAGCAGCCGCGGUAAUACGUAGGGGGCAAGCGUUAUCCGGAUUCACUGGGUGUAAAGGGAGCGUAGACGGCGACGCAAGUCUGGAGUGAAAGCCCGGGGCCCAACCCCGGGACUGCUCUGGAAACUGCGUCGCUGGAGUACGGGAGGGGCAGGCGGAAUUCCUGGUGUAGCGGUGAAAUGCGUAGAUAUCAGGAGGAACACCGGCGGCGAAGGCGGCCUGCUGGACCGUGACUGACGUUGAGGCUCGAGAGCGUGGGGAGCAAACAGGAUUAGAUACCCGUGUA
rnacentral:rRNA from 1 species